rnacentral:misc_RNA from 1 species
CGGGCAAGGAAACCCAACCUGGGCCGUGUUUUCAUUUUUGGUUCGUCCCUGCUGGCUGGCUCCGUGCCCGUGCACCGAACUGUCGGCAGGCGAUCCGCGUCGGUCGCUUGGGUGGUAUGGUUCCCCAGAAGCCGGUUCUUGUGCUGCGUACCCCCUCGAGGGAAGCAGGACACUCUGAUGUAAGCCUCCAUCCGGCGCCUUCCAAUGGGUGCAGGAGGACAAAGGAGCACCCCCCGCGUUCCACCGAGCCUUCGCCGGUCGCGUGGCCCGCGGGGAAGUGCGAUGCUCUCGGACCCAGCGCACGCCGUGGGCGAGGACUCACGUCCCAGUCCCAAGUGAAGCUUCGGCAUCAUGCAUGACGGCCGCUCCCGCCCCCAACCGCCCCAGCGGCGCGAGGGCGAGGCGCGGCGUCGCGGAGGAAUGCUACCUGGUUGAUCCUGCCAGUAGUCAUAUGCUUGUCU